AAUAGUAAGUGAAGGGGAUGACCUAUAAUCCAAUUAACUGAGGCAGAGAGAUAACUACAAAAUGUUAAAAAUAAGGUGGUGCUAGAGACAAAUCAAAAGGCUGGAAUAACACGAUAGGUCUAAGAGCCGAAUGCCGAGGGCCUAACAAAAGUAACACAUAAUCCAAAACUGUACAAAGUAAUUAAGGUAGAGAGAUCAUAACAAGUUAUCAAGGUGCUGGUGUUAAAACAAGACAGUAAGGAAGAUUCUACAAAUACAGAAGAGUAUGGUGGUGUUACCUGAGCACAAUAUGAACCCAAGAUCACGGUUGAGGCCGUCUUCAUGGGUAUGGAACUUGCCUAUCAGUUUGAUUGGCGAUUCUGUGUUGUUGUAUAUCUCGAAGGUCACCUUGGAGGAUGCUUACCCAGAGAUUGGAAACUGAAUGUCCUUGACUGCUGAAGUGCUCCCCAGUGGGAGGGAGCAUUCCUGUCUGGCGCAUUCUGGCUGCAUGGUCUCGCCGAUGUACCAUGCCUUGGGACAUCCUCAUCUGCAGCAUAUGAGGCAGACAACAUUGGUUGAGUCACAUGAGUAUCUGUCAUGUACGUGGUGGGCGGUGUUCCCACGUGAUCAGCUAAGCUUGACAUUUACCAGUUCCUGUUGCAUCUCCAUGCCAACCGUAGUCUAACUAAUCAGCACUCUCUUCUCAUGUUAUAUAAAUUGAUGCUUCAUUUCUAGGUUUGAUUUCUUGUAUUGUCAUCCUGAUAAGUGCACAGCAAAACCUUCAGCUUUUUGUUUAAUUUUAGCAAUGGGUAAAGAACAUCUUCAAAUAAUUUAAAUGUCUUAUGAAAAGUGAUGAAGUGAUUACUUUUUCACUAGAAAUCCAGAUGUGAGAAUUGACUUGCGGUACGUAUCAGAAGCUAAAAUUAAAACAUAUUUCAGUGUCUUCCGUUGAUCUUAUUUUACAAUAUUUAAUUUCAGAAAGAUCAAUGCUGCUUUUGUAAAAUGCUUGAUAUGGACAAAGAAGUUGUUGCAUGAAUUAUUUUGCAGUUGCCGUAAUGUUCAACACAAAAAGGAUAUAUCAAGAACUGACUUGGGAACUGUAAUUUUACGUUUUUGUUGCCUUGCUUAAAUAGGUGUGACUGAUGGAAACUCAGCAACUUUUUAACUCAAAUUAUUUAUUCUUUAACUCUCAAGUACCAAUAUUCAAUAUGAAGCAUACAUUUAUUGCAGCAUUUACUUCUUAUUUCGUCUAACUUAACUUAAGCUUUAACUCUUCAUUUAACUUCACUUUACCUUAGCUUAACUUAAUUCACAUUUAACCCUAACUCUUACUUCAACUCUAAGUUUGGCUUGAAUUAAAUGCUACCCUGAUUUGAGAGAAGUGACUAACUUUGUUCUCCGUAUAGAUCUUGCCUCCUGAUUCUUUGUUCUCGCUGAAAGUGCCUACAAGGCAUGUGCUUUUCAAAUGUGUCUUGGAGGCUUCUUCUCAGAAAAUUUCUUUGUUCUUUUAACUUAUCUGAAAAUGUGUUCCAUUUCCAGAAAGAUCUCUGGCAUUCAGACAAUGAAUUGAUCAAAGCCUGAUCACAUUGUUCGAUUCCAGCCAAUGGAGUUUACUGGUAAACAUUUGGGAGACAUAAACUGCGACAUUCCAUACUCCAUACAAGUAGUUGAUCAAAGGAAUGAAGGCAGCGAUGUAAUGAUCAGUGUCCUUAGUCUAAAAGAAGCUGAAGUCUGCCUUUGGAAUGCCCAGAAGUGGGAGAUGAGCCUUACAUGAUGAACGGUUUUGCAGAGUUUCACUGAUGUCCACUCAUAAGAACAUGGUCACCAUUUUUGUAUUAAAAAUAUAAGUAUUAUAGGUUUUGCAAGAGGUUCAAUGGAAAAUGGGUUAAAUAGAUGCUUGAUUUCUGUAGUUAAAACUGAGGUUGUGAAUAAUUUAGAAGUUAAAGUAUUUUACUUUCUAUAAGCAAAAGAUCUAAUGUUCCCAUAAAAGUGAAAAAUUGCAUUUAUCUAUUGUCAGUAUACAAUGCUAUUAUUCAUUUUGGCCAUUUUAGAAUGUUCAUAUGACGACUUGCAUUUUUUUAGCCAUAUUGUGCACAUUUUAAAUCGGUUGUCAAGAAAUUUGGCAGCAUCAUGGAAUGCAAAAAUUGAAGAGACCAAUUAACAAUGUGCCAAAAAUGGCCUAAAUUUAACAUCUCUAAAACUUGGUAUUGCAUAGAAAUUCUGAACAUCAUUUCAUCGGAUUUUGAUCUUUUCUGUUUUUGCUUUGAACAGUUUGCUUGUUCUAUGGAAUGACAAAUGGGACAGAUAAUUAGAAAAUGUGCUUCCUUUUAGAAGGAAUUGUAGAAGGCAGUUGAGUCCUAUUUUUUUUAACAUGAGAACAUGGCAGUCAGAUGGAUUUCUUCCCACUUGCAAAACCACUGAGGGAGAACCUAUUCACUCGUGACCCAAGUUACCAUGAUGUCAGUUGAAGUAGCAGUGUAGACUUGCCCUCUUCCAUAAAAAGAUCUUGAUUGAUUUAAAGCAUGGAAAAAUUAAUUUGGAGCAAACUAUCAUCAGUUGCCCAUUGUCAGUUGUAUAAACAUCAUAUAUAUUAAUAUGUGAAGUUGUAUAAAAAUUGAUUUAACUGUUGUAAAGAUUGCUUUUAAAAAACUUUUCUAAUGUUAGUUAUCUUGGAUGAUGUCAAGUUGUACAUAUUUUAGUAAAGCGCAACUUCACAAAGUAAUCUGCCUAUGGCCAUAAUGGUCUGAAAAAGUCUCAUCUCAGAACCUUGCAUUCUAAAGGUUUUUAAUGGUGCACUGUUAGUGUCCUAACCACUUGGUCAGGUGGCCUGGGUUUCAAAUCUACCUGCCCCAGUGAUGUGUCAUAUCAUAUCAGAGCAGGUUGAUUGAAAAAUAUCCACAUAAGUCAUCUGUAUCAUUUAAAAGGAUGAUAUGAUUUCACCUGUUUCAAAACAAAACUUAUACAGUUUGACUGACUUCGAGUUUGAUCAUCUGUUUGUAAAAGAAGAAAGAUCUGUACAGAAUUUGCUAAUUGCUAAAUAUUUUGACAAUUCCUGUAAAGAAGAUUAAAAUAUUGAAGACCUUCAACCUUGACCAUCUAAUGGUAUACAAUGUUAGCCGCUUUUGAAAACAUAUUAUCUAUUGCUGGCCAAAUGUAAAACUUGAUAGCAUGUUUUCAAAGUUGACAGUUACAAGAAAAAAAUAGAGUAAUGUCAAUUUUGGAUUGUCAAAUGGUGAAGGAUAGAGCAUUGGAGACUUUUAGUCACUUAGAAUGUUUUUUUAUAAUGACACGUAUUGCACUUUCAAUAAAAUAAAAUUCUUUAUUUCUGCUCCUA